rnacentral:tRNA from 2 species
UGGCUUUGUAGCUCAGGUAGGUAGAGCAACCUCUUUGAGGAAGGUCGCCGGUUCGAGACCGGUCAAAGCAA